rnacentral:rRNA from 1 species
AACGAACGCUGGCGGCAGGCUUAACACAUGCAAGUCGAACGCCCCGCAAGGGGAGCGGCAGACGGGUGAGUAACGCGUGGGAACGUACCCUUUGCUACGGAAUAGCUCCGGGAAACUGGAAUUAAUACCGUAUGUGCCCUACGGGGGAAAGAUCUAUCGGCAAAGGAUCGGCCCGCGUUGGAUUAGCUAGUUGGUGGGGUAAUGGCCUACCAAGGCGACGAUCCAUAGCUGGUCCGAGAGGAUGAUCAGCCACAUUGGGACUGAGACACGGCCCAAACUCCUACGGGAGGCAGCAGUGGGGAAUAUUGGACAAUGGGCGCAAGCCUGAUCCAGCCAUGCCGCGUGAGUGAUGAAGGCCUUAGGGUUGUAAAGCUCUUUCACCGGAGAAGAUAAUGACGGUAUCCGGAGAAGAAGCCCCGGCUAACUUCGUGCCAGCAGCCGCCGCAGUAA